GACGAACGCUGGCGGCGCGCUUAACACAUGCAAGUCGAGCGAGAACCAGACCUUCGGGUCUGGGGACAGCGGCGAACGGGUGAGUAACACGUGGGUAAUCAACCCUCGGUACUGGGAUAGCCCGGGGAAACCCGGAUUAAAACCGGAUGGCCCUUCGGAUCUUCGGUUCUGAAGGAAAAGGUAGCUUCGGCCUCCGACCGAGGACGAGCCCGCGGCGGAUUAGCUUGUUGGUGGGGUAACGGCCUACCAAGGCGGCGAUCCGUAGCUGGUCUGAGAGGACGAUCAGCCACACUGGGACUGAGACACGGCCCAGACUUCUACGGAAGGCAGCAGUGGGGAAUCUUGCGCUAAUGCGGUAAACCGUGACGCAGCGACGCCGCGUGAGGGAAGAAGGCCUUCGGGUUGUAAACCUCUUUCAGGAGGGACGAAGCUACUCGGGUUAAUAGCCCAGAGGGUGACGGUACCUUCAGAAGAAGCCCCGGCUAACUACGUGCCAGCCGCCGCCGUAA
rnacentral:rRNA from 1 species